UUCACCCUGAAGACGGUUGAGUUCAGGACACAAAGUGUAAAAUCCAGAUGAGCAGAGACCAAGAUUUCUGAUUGAACAAAGAACACUUUAUUGAGUGCUGCCUGGGUGCGGGGAGAAGAGCGGGAUGACCCAGAUGGGAGGCAAGAUCCUCCUGGAGGUCCUGAGGCUCCGGGCCCCCUUAGGUGGGCGGGGCCGUCGGGAACCUAAGAGCACUCUGCGGGGGCCACCUUCUUCUCCACGGUGCUCCCCUCGUGCGUGACCAGGCAGCUGAAGCUGCUGUGAGAUUUCCACUUGUCAGGCGUCAGGCUCAGGUAGCUGGCCGCGUACUUGUUGUUGCUCUGCUUGGAGGGCUUGGUCUCCACGCCCUGGGUGACGGGGCUGCCGUCUGCCUUCCAGGCCACCGUCACACCGCUGGGGUAGAAGUCGCUGAUGAGGCACACCAGGGUGGCCUUGUUGGCGCCGAGCUCCUCAGAGGAGGGCGGGAAGAGUGUGACCGAGGGGGAGGCCUUGGGCUGACCUGUGGGGAUGGAAGGCCAGUGGGUCAAAUGCAGAUGGUUGUUGUGUCAGCACCUACCUGAGUCCUGGUGUGGGGCUUCAGCUGUGUCAUGUCCGCGGCUCGGGCCUCCUGUGGACCUCGUUCCCCGCGUUCAGGGCAGCCAUUGGUAGUUAGCUCCCUCACCUUCUGAGUAAGAAUGUGAGUGCCAGAUUCUCUAGUUUCUGGUCCCUUCCAUGUCCUUAGGCUGUCUGCAUGUCACGUAUCCUUCGUGUCCACCCAGUGUGCUCCCGGUACUGGUGGGGUACAGGGGCCCUGAGAUCCUGUUUCCCUUCUGAACCUGAGUGUCCUUGACCAUUGGUAUCCAUGUGACUACACCCGUGUCACUUACCCGUGAUUUCCUAGAGCUUGCCUCUCUCCGUGACAGGACUCUGUUCUUACCAUGUGAACAGUAGGUUUCCUGUCCCCAGACUGUCUCACACCUUCACAGCAGCCUUCCCUGCCUCCCUACCUAUCCCCCACUAGAGCCCCUGAGGUUGUAAGUGCAAUGAGUGCCUGGAUUCCAGGAGGUGCAGGAGACUGAAUGGAUUUGUAUGAAUGAAUUUUCAUUAUGCAGCUGGGAUUGUGUUUGAUCUGAGGGUGUCCCCUGACCCAUGAAGUUAUCCUAGUGCAUCUGUCUGUCCUUGGAUUUCUGAGUGCUGUGUAGGCAAUGUCCCUGUUCUGCGUUCCUAUUAUCCCCCCUGGCCCAAAUUUCUGCUCAUUGGCUUUUAAGCCUCGGAGAGCUGUGUAGGGAUGGACCCCUGCUACCUGAGUGUCGCGAGGCCGCCUUGGGUGCGUGACAGUCCAUUCUUGGUGUGUGUUCUCUCCCCCUAGGCGGUGGAUGGUCCUACCGCAUUGGGCUCCCUUAUCUGAAGUCCUCACCUUAUUCUUGACCCUGAGCUGUACUUCGCCUUCCUUGUCUCUAAGUCCCCAUGCCUAGUGUCUCCUCCCUGAGCUUCACUCAGCCCGCUGGCUGGGAUCCCCGCCACACGCAGAGAGAGAGCAAGCGCCUAGGCAGGCCCCAGAAUCCUUCCAUAAUCCCAUGGCCCUGCUUACAGCUUAAGUAUCCCUCUUCCUAUCCUUCACCAUGAUUUCCCUCAGAUUUUUUUUCCCUCAGAUUCUUGAAGUCAAAGACCCAGAGUGGGGAGUUACACAUGCUCAAGUCCAGGGGAGAAGUUUCCCUCAUGGGGAGAGAGCUCGACCCCCAGGGAAGCCUGAGUGUAGAUCAGGGGCUGCUUCCCCGAGGCACCGAAUGGACCUCUGACAUGGUGGGAGCAGUGGAGGAAUGAGGGGCAGAGCAAGGCGACCAAAAGAACAGACCCACAGACCUUCAGCCUCAGCCCUCAUCAGGAUUGAAAGGAGACAAACAUUGCCAGAAAUUGUAGUGUGGAGGCGAAAGAGGAGAGAAAGGGGGAGACUCACCGAGGACGGUCAGGUGGGUGCCUCCGCCGAACACACCACACUAUGACACAGCCUCGAGCACAAACCCUCUGUCAGCCCCUCCACCCCUGACCCAGGCCCACGUGCAGCUGCUUGGGAGGCCCAAG
rnacentral:lncRNA from 1 species